rnacentral:rRNA from 1 species
GAUCGAGCGGUAGAGAGGAGCUUGCUCCUCUUGAGAGCGGCGGACGGGUGAGUAAUGCCUAGGAAUCUGCCUGGUAGUGGGGGAUAACGUUCGGAAACGGACGCUAAUACCGCAUACGUCCUACGGGAGAAAGCAGGGGACCUUCGGGCCUUGCGCUAUCAGAUGAGCCUAGGUCGGAUUAGCUAGUUGGUGAGGUAAUGGCUCACCAAGGCGACGAUCCGUAACUGGUCUGAGAGGAUGAUCAGUCACACUGGAACUGAGACACGGUCCAGACUCCUACGGGAGGCAGCAGUGGGGAAUAUUGGACAAUGGGCGAAAGCCUGAUCCAGCCAUGCCGCGUGUGUGAAGAAGGUCUUCGGAUUGUAAAGCACUUUAAGUUGGGAGGAAGGGCAGUAAAUUAAUACUUUGCUGUUUUGACGUUACCGACAGAAUAAGCACCGGCUAACUCUGUGCCAGCAGCCGCGGUAAUACAGAGGGUGCAAGCGUUAAUCGGAAUUACUGGGCGUAAAGCGCGCGUAGGUGGUUUGUUAAGUUGGAUGUGAAAUCCCCGGGCUCAACCUGGGAACUGCAUUCAAAACUGACUGACUAGAGUAUGGUAGAGGGUGGUGGAAUUUCCUGUGUAGCGGUGAAAUGCGUAGAUAUAGGAAGGAACACCAGUGGCGAAGGCGACCACCUGGACUAAUACUGACACUGAGGUGCGAAAGCGUGGGGAGCAAACAGGAUUAGAUACCCUGGUAGUCCACGCCGUAACGAUGUCAACUAGCCGUUGGAAGCCUUGAGCUUUUAGUGGCGCAGCUACGCAUUAAGUUGACCCCUGGGGAGUACGCCGCAGGUUAAACUCAAUGAUUGACGGGGCCCGCACAGCGGUGAGCAUGUGGUUUAUUCGAAGCACGCGAAA